rnacentral:rRNA from 1 species
GACGAACGCUGGCGGCGUGCUUAACACAUGCAAGUCGAACGGUAAGGCCCUUUCGGGGGUACACGAGUGGCGAACGGGUGAGUAACACGUGGGUGAUCUGCCCUGCACUUUGGGAUAAGCCUGGGAAACUGGGUCUAAUACCGGAUAGGACUACGCGAUGCAUGUCGUGUGGUGGAAAGCUUUUGCGGUGUGGGAUGGGCCCGCGGCCUAUCAGCUUGUUGGUGGGGUGAUGGCCUACCAAGGCGACGACGGGUAGCCGGCCUGAGAGGGUGUCCGGCCACACUGGGACUGAGAUACGGCCCAGACUCCUACGGGAGGCAGGAGUGGGGAAUAUUGCACAAUGGGCGCAAGCCUGAUGCAGCGACGCCGCGUGGGGGAUGACGGCCUUCGGGUUGUAAACCCCUUUCAGCACAGACGAAGCGUAAGUGACGGUAUGUGCAGAAGAAGCACCGGCCAACUACG